rnacentral:rRNA from 1 species
GACGAACGCUGGCGGCGUGCUUAACACAUGCAAGUCGAACGGAAAGGCCCUGCUUUUGUGGGGUGCUCGAGUGGCGAACGGGUGAGUAACACGUGAGUAACCUGCCCUUGACUUUGGGAUAACUUCAGGAAACUGGGGCUAAUACCGGAUAGGAGCUCCUGCUGCAUGGUGGGGGUUGGAAAGUUUCGGCGGUUGGGGAUGGACUCGCGGCUUAUCAGCUUGUUGGUGGGGUAGUGGCUUACCAAGGCUUUGACGGGUAGCCGGCCUGAGAGGGUGACCGGCCACAUUGGGACUGAGAUACGGCACAGACUCCUACGGGAGGCAGCAGUGGGGAAUAUUGCACAAUGGGCGGAAGCCUGAUGCAGUAACGCCGCGUGCGGGAUGACGGCCUUCGGGUUGUAAACCGCUUUCGCCUGUGACGAAGCGUGAGUGACGGUAAUGGGUAAAGAAGCACCGGCUAACUACGUG